CCUUCCCUCCUCCUGCCCAUUUUCUCCUUCUUCCUCUACUCCCCCAGUCCUGUUAGCUCACCUCCUUCUGCCCUUGACACACCACUGGCCCUAGGUCCGCUUCUGUGUUUCUGUCCCACCUCCCCAACAGCAGUGAAUACACUCCACCUGCGGGACGCCCUCUUGGAGGAGGCGCAGCUUCUCAUCCCCAUCUAGGUGCGUCUAGGUGUGUGGGUGCCUCCUCCAUCCUCAGAUCUGUCCUCCAGGUGCUCCCCACAGAGCCAGGUGAGAAGCAGGACCACUCAGCAGGUUCUCUGCAAACACUUCUUCAGGGGCAUUCUCACGCCCUCCUGGCAAGGCAUCAGUUGUCCUGUCCCCAGUGACUCUCUACCCACCCAGCCCACAGGCACCAGAUGGGACCCUGAGGGACACAGUAGUGAGCUUGUCAGUGUCCACUCUCCUUUGGAGCCACCAUGUUGAAAGGAAGCCCAGGCCUCAUGUUCCAGCCAACACCUCCAGCUCUGGUCCCCACUAAGCCCCAGACAUGUGAGAGAGGGAAACUUCAGAUGAUUCAGCCUCCAGUCUUGUUGCUACCCCAGCUGAUGCCAAGUGGAGCAGAAAUGAGUUGUCCCAAACUGCAAAAUAAAUACUGUUCUAAGCCACUAA